rnacentral:other from 1 species
UUGCCGGAACUCUACACACCAACAUUCCACGCUUGUGGGACUCAAAUGUUGGAUGACACAGUUGUAGCUGGAACUGAGUGUUUAGUGCACUCUGUGUAACAGUGAAAACAAUGUGAUCACUUCGGUGGGCUAGUAGCCUGUGGACUAACAACUGGUAACAGUUGCCUCAGGGGCCAAAAGCCACGGUGUUAACAGCACCCUACUAGUUUGAUUGGAGCAAUCCAUGAUGUUACAGAGUUAGUAACUGCCAAACAGAUUGUACUGGUAUCUUGGCAUACCGUGCAACUUAGGAUAGUGAAGGAUGCCCUGGCGGUACCCAUAGGUAACAAGUGACACUAUGGAUCUAAACAGGGGCUCACUCUACGUUGCUUUACAACUAGCUGUGAGUUAAAAAACGUCUAACUAUCCACAACCUAGGGGACUAGGUUUUCCUUUUUAUUUUUAUACACA